CCAGGCCAGGAUUCCCAGGUGUCCCAGCUCCUGCUCAGGGCGGAGCACAGAUCUCUCACCAUGGAGUUUGGGCUCAGCUGGCUUUUCCUUCUUGCUAUUUUAGGAGGUGUCCAGUGUGAGGGGCAGCUGGUGGCAUCUGGGGGAGGCUUGGUGAAGCCUGGGGGGUCUCUGAGACUCUCCUGUGUGGCCUCUGGAGUCACCUUUGGUGCCAUUGAUAUACACAUGAUCCGCCAGGCUCCUGGGAAGGGACCGGAGUGGGUGGCAGUUAUAAGGUAUGAUGGAAGUCAGAAAUACUAUGCAGACUCUGUGAAAGGCCGAUUCACCAUCUCCAGAGACAAUGCAAAGAACAUGCUGUACCUGCAAAUGAACAGCCUGAAAGCUGAAGACACGGCUGUGUAUUAUUGUACUACAGCCACAGUGACAGAAAGUCAGUGUGAGCCCAGAUACAAAACUUCCUGCUGA